UCUGACAACCCAAGUAAUCCUUUUAGUAUCAGCACUUAGGUUAAAUCAUGCUUUCCUUUCCUUGUCUGAGGACACUUAUCGAGCAGGAUGAUGUGCCAUAGGGCUGGAAUAAAUUUGGUAUUUAAAGUGCAUGUACUUAUUUCGCUUUGAGAAAACACAAAUAUAUUCAUAGUCACAGAAAACAGGGACCUAGAAUGCAAAGUCAAGUUCUCCCAUAACUAAAAUGCAAGGUUAUAUGUUGCUUCAGAACACAAAGAGAUGGAUUUCUGACAAGGGUUACCCACCAAAGAGACCCCAAUCCUGAAAACUUCCAGAUCGCACCCAGGAACGUGCAGUUCCCAAAGAAAUUCAAUAGAAAGAUGGGAGAGAUCCUAGUGUCAUGGCAUUUCAUUCUCUUGAAUAGUUGGUGAGAAAAAAACAAGAGGGAUGAGGGGAUUCUGUUACCAUGACAACGUGGAGAGGAGGCCUGGGGAUUGGGUAGAAAUGAAUAUUCUUCUAUUCCUGUACACUUCUGCCACACUGCCUGAUUUUUAAAAAAUUGAUGCAAUUAAACAGCAUG
rnacentral:lncRNA from 1 species